UAGGGAAUAUUGGUCAAUGGAUGGAAGUCUGAACCAGCCAUGCCGCGUGCAGGAAGAAGGCGUUAUGCGUUGUAAACUGCUUUUGCCAGGGGAUAAAAUGAGUGUGCGCACUUAAUUGAAGGUACCUGGUGAAUAAGCCACGGCUAACUACGUGCCAGCAGCCGCGGUAAUACGUAGGUGGCAAGCGUUGUCCGGAUUUAUUGGGUUUAAAGGGUGCGUAGGUGGCCCUGUAAGUCAGUGGUGAAAUAUCUCAGCUUAACUGAGAGGGUGCCAUUGAUACUGCAGGGCUUGAGUACAGAUGAGGUAGGCGGAAUUGACGGUGUAGCGGUGAAAUGCAUAGAUAUCGUCAAGAACACCGAUAGCGAAGGCAGCUUACCAAGCUGUAACUGACACUGAGGCACGAAAGUGUGGGGAUCAAACAGG
rnacentral:rRNA from 1 species